UACGUAGGGGGCGAGCGUUGUCCGGAUUCAUUGGGCGUAAAGGGCUCGUAGGCGGUUUGUCGCGUCGGGAGUGAAAACCUCGGGCUUAACUCGGGGCUUGCUUUCGAUACGGGCAGACUGGAGGUAUGCAGGGGAGAACGGAAUUCCUGGUGUAGCGGUGAAAUGCGCAGAUAUCAGGAGGAACACCGGUGGCGAAGGCGGUUCUCUGGGCAUGACCUGACGCUGAGGAGCGAAAGUGUGGGGAGCGAACAGG
rnacentral:rRNA from 1 species